rnacentral:lncRNA from 1 species
GAAAAUAAGAGAAAGGAGGUAAACGUGGUAUAUUAUUGAUACGGAAAAAGGGAAAAUACAGUAGGAGGCUACUGUCCAGAGCUAUGCUCCUAUAGAGAAUUAGCAUUCUCCAUUCUGCAAAACUGCAAUAUUCUUUCCCCCCCAUUCUCAUGCUAGGCUGUGCCUAUAAGGAUACACGCCUCACACACCCACAAAUCCCGUAACUAACUAUCACCCAACCUUUUCUUUCUCUCUCUCUCUGCCACCUCAUCAUGCUCUGUUAGCCUUUUCAAUUCUGUUUCUCCUAGUGUACACACGCCAUAUUCUAGGCCUAUGUAAACC